rnacentral:lncRNA from 1 species
GAAUAGGGAUCCAGUUUCUUUGAGUACUGAAACUUUAUACACAGCUUUAAAAUGGGGAUGUGUGGGUCUCCCAAUUUUGUUCUUUAUAUUUUUCUUGAAAAAAAACUGUAUUUGGUUUUUGAGGUUGACUGAACUUCCAUAUUCAUUUAGGCUCACAGUUACAUCUUUUUCAAAAAUGACAUGUGGGAAUUUUGGUAAGGUUUACAUAGGUAUGUAAAUCAACUUGCAUUUUCCAUUUCAGCAACAUUAAAUCUUAUCAAUAAAUAGUGGAUACCCAGGUAGUCUUUUAAACAUUUUCUAUAGUAUUUUCUGCAUAUAAGACAUAUUUGUUUGUAAUUUUUUGCUAUGUAUUUAAUAUUUGAUACUAUCAUAAAUGGAAUUUUUAAAGUAAUUUUGCUUUGAUAUUUAUUGUUCAGCUAAAAAAAAAUUAUUGAUUGAUUGGUGCUAUAUCCUGCACAAAUGCUGAACUUUUUGUUUAAAUACUUCUUUCGUGGUGACCUUAGGAUUUAAUUCACACAAUGCCAUCUAUCUGUUUUUAAAGUUAGAUAUAGUUUGAUAGUUUCACUUCACAUUUCUAAUGUGGAUUUUUGUUGUUGUUGUGGGAUACCAGGGAUUGAACUCAGGGGCCCUUGACUUCGGAGCCACAUCCCCAGCCCUAUUUUGUAUUUUAUUUAGAGACAGGGUCUCACUGAGUUCCUCAGCACCUUGCUUUUGCUGAGGCUGGCUUUGAACUCACAAUCCUCCUGCCUCAGCCUCCCAAGUCACUGGGAUACAGUUGUAUGCCAACCAUGCUCAGCUCUGAUAUGAAUGUAUUGUGUUUUCUACUGAUUCAAUCUCUUGUUAAGUCUUUUAAAAUUUUCUAUGUCUAAAUCAGUUUUGAUGGAUGUUUUAUAGGAAUUUGUUCACAUUCAGUUGUUCAUAAUAUGCCCUUAAAAUUCUCUAAUUUUUUUGUGGAGUCUGUUCGGAAGGUCUCACUUUUAUUUUUGAUAUUUAUUAACUGAAGUACUCUCUCUCUC